rnacentral:rRNA from 1 species
AUUGAACGCUGGCGGCAGGCUUAACACAUGCAAGUCGAGCGGAGAGAGGUAGCUUGCUACUGAUCUUAGCGGCGGACGGGUGAGUAAUGCUUAGGAAUCUGCCUAUUAGUGGGGGACAACAUUUCGAAAGGAAUGCUAAUACCGCAUACGUCCUACGGGAGAAAGCAGGGGAUCUUCGGACCUUGCGCUAAUAGAUGAGCCUAAGUCGGAUUAGCUAGGUGGUGGGGUAAAGGCCUACCAAGGCGACGAUCUGUAGCGGGUCUGAGAGGAUGAUCCGCCACACUGGGACUGAGACACGGCCCAGACUCCUACGGGAGGCAGCAGUGGGGAAUAUUGGACAAUGGGGGGAACCCUGAUCCAGCCAUGCCGCGUGUGUGAAGAAGGCCUUAUGGUUGUAAAGCACUUUAAGCGAGGAGGAGGCUCUUUUGGUUAAUACCCAAGAUGAGUGGACGUUACUCGCAGAAUAAGCACCGGCUAACUCUGUGCCAGCCGCCGCCGUAA